CCGAAACCGGCGACUUAACCUGAAAAGGAGAGAACCGUCUAAGGUGGGGCCGAUGAUUGGGGUGAAGUCGUAACAAGGUAGCCGUAUCGGAAGGUGCGGCUGGAUCACCUCCUUUCUAAGGAGA
rnacentral:rRNA from 1 species